CAGAGGGCUGGAGCACCUCUCCUGUGAGGAAAGGUUGAGGGAACUGGGCUUGUUUAGCUUGGAGGAGAGAAGCCUCCGGGCAGACCUCAUUGCAGCCUUCUAGUACUUGAAGAGAGCGUAUAAAUAUGAAGGGGAAUGGCUGCUUAUCAGAGUGGGUAGUGAUAGUACAAGGGGGAAUGGUUUAAAGCUGAGACAGGGGAGGUUUAGGUUAGAUAUUAGGAGGAAGUUUUUCACCCAGAGGGUGGUGACACACUGGAACACGUCGCCCAAGGAGGUUGUGGAUGCCCCGUCCCUGGAGGCGUUCAAGGCCAGGCUGGAUGUGGCUCUGGGCAGCCUGGUCUAGUGGUUGGCGACCCUGCACAUAGCAGGGGGGUUGAAACUAGAUGAUCAUUGUGUUCCUUUUUAACCUAGGCCAUUCUAUGUUUAUAUAAUUCUAUGAAAAAUGGAGUCUUAUUCAGAAAUUAACAUAAAUUUAUAAAUUUAAAGCUCAUAGUUGAAAAAUAGUGUUGUAAACAUCACUUACUAUCAUUCCUCAGAACAAACAUUCUAGAUUA
rnacentral:lncRNA from 1 species